AACGAACGCUGGCGGCAUGCCUAGCACAUGCAAGUCGAACGAGACCUUCGGGUCUAGUGGCGCACGGGUGCGUAACGCGUGGGAACCUGCCCUUAGGUUCGGAAUAACUCCCCGAAAGGGGUGCUAAUACCGGAUAAUGUCUUCGGACCAAAGAUUUAUCGCCUUUGGUUGGGCCCGCGUUGGAUUAGCUAGUUGGGAGGGUAAAAGCCUACCAAGGCGACGAUCCAUAGCUGGUCUGAGAGGAUGAUCAGCCACACUGGGACUGAGACACGGCCCAGACUCCUACGGGAGGCAGCAGUGGGGAAUAUUGGACAAUGGGCGAGAGCCUGAUCCAGCAAUGCCGCGUGAGUGAUGAAGGCCUUAGGGUUGUAAAGCUCUUUUACCCGGGAUGAUAAUGACAGUACCGGGAGAAUAAGCUCCGGCUAACUCCGUG
rnacentral:rRNA from 1 species